rnacentral:lncRNA from 1 species
CCAGGAUAAAACAGCCCAGAUCUUUGUUAUCGAAUUCUUACUGCACUGUAAGAACUGAUCUCCAAUACACCCACCGCAAUAUUGCUACCAGUGGCAAUUUUCGAAAUUACCCACAAUAUGGCUACCCGUACCAAUUCACUUUCCACAAUACUGACUGCUAGUGUCAGUUCUCGAAAUGUCCACAAUAUGGCUGUCUGGGCCAAU